ACUGCCCACUUGUCCUUGGCAGCAGUUGGCCAGGCUGGUGGCUUCCUCUGGCUGCUGAGGAGGCAGCUCCCUGUGCCGAGAGCGUUUUUCCUCCCAAACAGGGCAGCUAAUCCAUUUAUAGACAGAGGAAUGAACUGCAUAAAGUCAUUCUCCUCCCCACCCCCACCCCCCAGCCCUGUCCCCAGCCAUCUCCACCAGCUUCUCCAUUCUCUUGGUUUCUCAUCUGCCGAGGACUAAGAAACCACAUACCUGGACUUUUUGAAAUUAGAUCUUUCGUCAGAAUCAAUCAGCCCACCUCAGAAAGGUGUCUCCAUGAUGACACAGGGACUGUUGGCUACUCAGAGCCCUUCUCCUUCUUACUUUCUGGUUUGGAGUUCUAUUCCAGAGACUGAGGUUACCAGAAGGUGACCUCUAGGUCAGGACCGUGUUCCUGUGUGUUUUUCCAGCAAGCCGGGACUGUGACAUCUUCUGACAUCAAAGGCUAGAGCGUUUGGCUACUUAUCCUUAAAACAUCCAUAACAUCAUUAAGUAUUAGGUGUGGGGAUAAAUUUAGCUUGUUAUUGUUUAAUGACUCAGUGAAAGAGUUAAGCCAGACGGGGCUUAAUCCUCCAGCUUCGUGUUACACUUAAUUUGAACAAAGUUUGACAGACAUGUGGAGUCAUCACACAAAUUAUGAUGAAAUUUGAAAGAAGAUUCCUUAGCCCAUGACUGGUCUCCAGUGACUCAUAAUGAGUUUCACUAGGUGUUGGUGUUCAAACUGCUAAUCAGGUUUUGUGAAUCUUUUCCAGUGGCAGGAGUUUUAAUACGAAUGGAUACCAAAUUGGCUAAAAUGUCUUGAAAAAUGUAUCCACAGACUGACAACUAUUUUUAAGUUGAAAAUGAAGUUAGUUCUAAGUUCUAUGUUUUUUUAAAUCACAAAGUGGCUCUGAGAUCUCUGAGAUACUUUAAACUUAAAAACUAGUAAGGGCCUACUGUGUAGCACAGUGUAGUCUACUCAAUACUGUGUAAUAACCUAUAUGAGAAAAUAAUCUGAAAAAGAAUGGAUGUAUGCAAAAAUAAAUAAAUAUAUAUAAACAUAUAUAUGGUUAGUGAGAACCUACUGUAUAGCACAGGAAAAUCUACUCAAUACUUUGUAAUAACCUGUAUGGGAAAGAAGAAUGGACAUAUUUAUAUGUAUGACUGAUUCACUUUACUGUACACCUGAAACUAAUAUGAUACUGUAAAUCAACUAUAUUCCAAUAAAAUUACAUUAAAAAAC
ensembl:lncRNA